rnacentral:rRNA from 1 species
CCGGCGACCGGCGCGACGGGUGAAGUAACGCGUAUGACAACUCGCCGUUUCAGCGGGAUAACCCGGAGAAAUCCGGCCUAAUACCGCAUGUGGCCGAGGGGAGGCAUCUUCUUUCGGCCAAAGGAGGCGACUCCGGAGACGGAUGGGCAUGCGUGACAUUAGCUUGUUGGCGGGGUAACGGCCCACCAAGGCGACGAUGUCUAGGGGUUCUGAGAGGAAGGCCCCCCACACUGGUACUGAGACACGGACCAGACUCCUACGGGAGGCAGCAG